rnacentral:rRNA from 1 species
CGGGUGAGUAAUGUCUGGGAAACUGCCUGAUGGAGGGGGAUAACUACUGGAAACGGUGGCUAAUACCGCAUAACGUCGCAAGACCAAAGAGGGGGACCUUCGGGCCUCUUGCCAUCAGAUGUGCCCAGAUGGGAUUAGCUAGUUGGUGAGGUAACGGCUCACCAAGGCGACGAUCCCUAGCUGGUCUGAGAGGAUGACCAGCCACACUGGAACUGAGACACGGUCCAGACUCCUACGGGAGGCAGCAGUGGGGAAUAUUGCACAAUGGGCGCAAGCCUGAUGCAGCCAUGCCGCGUGUAUGAAGAAGGCCUUCGGGUUGUAAAGUACUUUCAGCGGGGAGGAAGGUGUUGUGGUUAAUAACCGCAGCAAUUGACGUUACCCGCAGAAGAAGCACCGGCUAACUCCGUGCCAGCAGCCGCGGUAAUACGGAGGGUGCAAGCGUUAAUCGGAAUUACUGGGCGUAAAGCGCACGCAGGCGGUCUGUCAAGUCGGAUGUGAAAUCCCCGGGCUCAACCUGGGAACUGCAUUCGAAACUGGCAGGCUUGAGUCUUGUAGAGGGGGGUAGAAUUCCAGGUGUAGCGGUGAAAUGCGUAGAGAUCUGGAGGAAUACCGGUGGCGAAGGCGGCCCCCUGGACAAAGACUGACGCUCAGGUGCGAAAGCGUGGGGAGCAAACAGGAUUAGAUACCCUGGUAGUCCACGCCGUAAACGAUGUCUACUUGGAGGUUGUGCCCUUGAGGCGUGGCUUCCGGAGCUAACGCGUUAAGUAGACCGCCUGGGGAGUACGGCCGCAAGGUUAAAACUCAAAUGAAUUGACGGGGGCCCGCACAAGCGGUGGAGCAUGUGGUUUAAUUCGAUGCAACGCGAAGAACCUUACCUGGUCUUGACAUCCACAGAAGAAUCCAGAGAUGGAUUUGUGCCUUCGGGAACUGUGAGACAGGUGCUGCAUGGCUGUCGUCAGCUCGUGUUGUGAAAUGUUGGGUUAAGUCCCGCAACGAGCGCAACCCUUAUCCUUUGUUGCCAGCGGUCCGGCCGGGAACUCAAAGGAGACUGCCAGUGAUAAACUGGAGGAAGGUGGGGAUGACGUCAAGUCAUCAUGGCCCUUACGACCAGGGCUACACACGUGCUACAAUGGCGCAUACAAAGAGAAGCGACCUCGCGAGAGCAAGCGGACCUCAUAAAGUGCGUCGUAGUCCGGAUUGGAGUCUGCAACUCGACUCCAUGAAGUCGGAAUCGCUAGUAAUCGUGGAUCAGAAUGCCACGGUGAAUACGUUCCCGGGCCUUGUACACACCGCCCGUCACACCAUGGGAGUGGGUUGCAAAAGAAGUAGGUAGCUUAACCUUCGGGAGGGCGCUUACCACUUUGUGAUUCAUGACUGGGGUGAAGUCGUAACAAGGUAACCGUAGGGGAACCUGCGGUUGGAUCACCUCCUUACCUUAAAGAA